CAGUCGAACGGAGAUUAUACGCAGAGGCGAUUUCGGUCAAAUCAUGUGUAAUCUUAGUGGCGGACGGGUGAGUAACACGUAGGUAACCUGCCCCGGAGCGGGGGAUAACAUUUGGAAACAGAUGCUAAUACCGCAUAACAACAAAAGCCACAUGGCUUUUGUUUGAAAGAUGGCCUUGGCUAUCACUCUGGGAUGGACCUGCGGUGCAUUAGCUAGUUGGUAAGGUAACGGCUUACCAAGGCAAUGAUGCAUAGCCGAGUUGAGAGACUGAUCGGCCACAUUGGGACUGAGACACGGCCCAAACUCCUACGGGAGGCAGCAGUAGGGAAUCUUCCACAAUGGACGAAAGUCUGAUGGAGCAACGCCGCGUGAGUGAAGAAGGGUUUCGGCUCGUAAAGCUCUGUUGGUAGUGAAGAAAGAUGGAGGUAGUAACUGGCCUUUAUUUGACGGUAAUUACUUAGAAAGUCACGGCUAACUACGUGCCAGCAGCCGCGGUAAUACGUAGGUGGCAAGCGUUGUCCGGAUUUAUUGGGCGUAAAGCGAGUGCAGGCGGUUUAAUAAGUCUGAUGUGAAAGCCUUCGGCUCAACCGGAGAAUUGCAUCAGAAACUGUUGAACUUGAGUGCAGAAGAGGAGAGUGGAACUCCAUGUGUAGCGGUGGAAUGCGUAGAUAUUAGGAAGAACACCAGUGGCGAAGGCGGCUUGCUGGACAGUAACUGACGUUGAGGCUCGAAAGCGUGGGGAGCAAACAG
rnacentral:rRNA from 1 species